AACGAACGCUGGCGGCAGGCUUAGCACAUGCAAGUCGAGCGCCCCGCAAGGGGAGCGGCAGACGGGUGAGUAACGCGUGGGAAUCUACCGUGCCCUACGGAAUAACGCAUGGAAACGUGUGCUAAUACCGUAUACGCCCUACGGGGGAAAGAUUUAUCGGGGUAUGAUGAGCCCGCGUUGGAUUAGCUAGUUGGUGGGGUAAAGGCCUACCAAGGCGACGAUCCAUAGCUGGUCUGAGAGGAUGAUCAGCCACAUUGGGACUGAGACACGGCCCAAACUCCUACGGGAGGCAGCAGUGGGGAAUAUUGGACAAUGGGCGCAAGCCUGAUCCAGCCAUGCCGCGUGAGUGAUGAAGGUCUUAGGAUUGUAAAGCUCUUUCACCGGUGAAGAUAAUGACGGUAACCGGAGAAGAGGCCCCGGCUAACUUCGUGCCAGCCGCCGCAGUAA
rnacentral:rRNA from 1 species